CGAAUGCUGACAUAAGUAACGAUAAAGCGGGUGAAAAGCCCGCUCGCCGGAAGACCAAGGGUUCCUGUCCAACGUUAAUCGGGGCAGGGUGAGUCGACCCCUAAGGCGAGGCCGAAAGGCGUAGUCGAUGGGAAACAGGUUAAUAUUCCUGUACUUGGUGUUACUGCGAAGGGGGGACGGAGAAGGCUAUGUUGGCCGGGCGACGGUUGUCCCGGUUUAAGCGUGUAGGCUGGUUUUCCAGGCAAAUCCGGAAAAUCAAGGCUGAGGCGUGAUGACGAGGCACUACGGUGCUGAAGCAACAAAUGCCCUGCUUCCAGGAAAAGCCUCUAAGCAUCAGGUAACAUCAAAUCGUACCCCAAACCGACACAGGUGGUCAGGUAGAGAAUACCAAGGCGCUUGAGAGAACUCGGGUGAAGGAACUAGGCAAAAUGGUGCCGUAACUUCGGGAGAAGGCACGCUGAUAUGUAGGUGAAGCGACUUGCUCGUGGAGCUGAAAUCAGUCGAAGAUACCAGCUGGCUGCAACUGUUUAUUAAAAACACAGCACUGUGCAAACACGAAAGUGGACGUAUACGGUGUGACGCCUGCCCGGUGCCGGA
rnacentral:rRNA from 1 species